rnacentral:rRNA from 1 species
UACGUAGGGGGCAAGCGUUGUCCGGAUUUAUUGGGCGUAAAGAGCGUGUAGGCGGCCAUACAGGUCAGCUGUGAAAACUCGAGGCUCAACCUCGAGACGUCGGUUGAAACCGUAUGGCUAGAGUCCGGAAGAGGAGAGUGGAAUUCCCGGUGUAGCGGUGAAAUGCGCAGAUAUCGGGAAGAACACCCGUGGCGAAGGCGGCUCUCUGGGACGGUACUGACGCUGAGACGGCGAAAGCGUGGGGAGCGAACAGG